UGCAGGCUGCAACUCGCCUGCAUGAAGUUGGAAUUGCUAGUAAUCGCGAAUCAGAAUGUCGCGGUGAAUACGUUCCCGGGCCUUGUACACACCGCCCGUCACACCAUGAGAGUCGAUAACACCCGAAGCCUGUGAGCUAACCUUUUAGGAGGCAGCAGUCGAAGGUGGGGUUGAUGAUUGGGGUGAAGUCGUAACAAGGUAUC
rnacentral:rRNA from 1 species